GAUGUACGCUGGCGGCGUGCCUAAUACAUGCAAGUCGAGCGAACGGACGAGAAGCUUGCUUCUCUGAUGUUAGCGGCGGACGGGUGAGUAACACGUGGAUAACCUACCUAUAAGACUGGGAUAACUUCGGGAAACCGGAGCUAAUACCGGAUAAUAUUUUGAACCGCAUGGUUCAAAAGUGAAGGACGGUCUUGCUGUCACUUAUAGAUGGAUCCGCGCUGCAUUAGCUAGUUGGUAAGGUAACGGCUUACCAAGGCAACGAUGCAUAGCCGACCUGAGAGGGUGAUCGGCCACACUGGAACUGAGACACGGUCCAGACUCCUACGGGAGGCAGCAGUAGGGAAUCUUCCGCAAUGGGCGAAAGCCUGACGGAGCAACGCCGCGUGAGUGAUGAAGGUCUUCGGAUCGUAAAACUCUGUUAUUAGGGAAGAACAUAUGUGUAAGUAACUGUGCACAUCUUGACGGUACCUAAUCAGAAAGCCACGGCUAACUACGUG
rnacentral:rRNA from 1 species